rnacentral:tRNA from 1 species
UGCAGGUGUAGUUCAAUGGUAGAACACGCCUUGCCAAGGCGAGGGUCGCGGGUUCGAAUCCCGUCUCGCGC